AGUCGAUUUUGCCAGAGCUGGCAAUCCCUAAUCUGCUUCCUCUCCAGCAGCUCCCAAAGGAAGGGAGAAACCCAAACACCCAUCCCAUAACAAUGCUCUUAUUUGCACUGCUGGGGCCCCAAAUUCCUUUGUUUAUUCCCCCUCUUUCUGAUGGGUUUUCCAUAACAAGGAACACUCGGGAGAUCCCUGCAGCAGGAAUCGCUCUGCCUUUUCCACACCUUUUAUUUUCUCUCCAUCUUUCUUGCUGGCUCCUGCAGGUCCUGGAAGGCCUCAGUUGGGUUCCUCCGGUGCUGGGGCACUGGUGACAGGCUUUUUGUGGCUCCUGAAGUGGGAUCCAAAGGAAAAUUGCAGCUCAUGGAAGGGAGGGCAAGAGAAGACCCUGUGGGCAAGUGCAGACUGAAAGAGGAAAAGGCAACAAAUCCAUCCUGGGCUGCUUUUAAAGCAGAUUCUUUCUGGAUUUAUCUGUGGCACACCCUGCCCAGCAGGAGGGAAGAGGAGAAACCUCAGGAUUCCAGCAGAACCAGCCAAGAUGAGCACUAAAUCCAUCCUUUGCACCCGGACACGAGGGAGAUCCAUGGCACAGCUUCCAUGGAAAAGCAAAACACACCCAGGAUCCCAACAAGGCCCUUUUGUGCUGCUCUGACCAAAACGAAGCAGCACCUUCUGGCUGUCCAGGCUGACAUCCAGGCAGCUGGAAACUCUCAGGAAAACUUGGAAGCUGCCAAGUCACCAUUUCCAGGGCAUGGAGCAGUUGGGAUUGUUUGGAUCACAAAAUCCAAUUAAAGCAGGCAGAGAGGUUGGGCUGAAGGCUGCUGCUCCCUUUCCUGCCAGCACCACCCACCUCCCUUCCCUGGAAAAGCCAAAUCCCAUUACCCCAGGUGGGAGCAGCUCCUCCCUGCUCAGGCCAGCCAACCCUGGAGGGUGGAAAAGUCCUGCAGCACCAUCCCAGCAUCUCCCUGUCCCCACAUCCCACACUCCCUGCGAGCUGGAGCUGCUCCGAGCUUCCUGUUUGGGAUUGGAAGCAAAUAUUGCCCUUGGUGUGCUCCCAGCACAGCUCCAGGAGUGCUGGGCAACCUCUGCUGGAUGUUCUUCCAAACAUCAUCCAGGGGCACAGCCAGAUCCUGCAGAAGAGGAGGAAAAAACACUGGAAUUGCAGCUCUGUGGAUACAGGAAGUCCUGGUUGGAAUUUCACUGGAAACCUCUGGGUUUGAGCAGCUCCACAGCAGCCUCUUCCCACCUGGGGGGACUCCAGCACCUGGAGGAGCUCCUGGCAGCACACUGGAAUUCCAGCAGCAUUUAUGUGGUUGUGUGAAGCUCCAUCAGGUGUUUCCCAGCUCUCUGAGCCCCCUUUUCACCCUGGGGGAAUUUUGGGAUGGGAUUUUCCUGCCCCAGCUGUGGGAAAAGGGGAAGGGUGGAGAGUAACAGGG